GCCUGCGCAAGUUAUUGGCGCCAAGAUGGCGAUGGAGAUGAGGCUUCCUGUCGCUCGCAAGCCUCUUAGCGAGAGCCUGGGGCGCGAGACUAAGAAGCACCUGGUGGUGCCAGGGGACACGAUCACCACGGACACAGGCUUCAUGCGGGGCCAUGGGACCUAUAUGGGGGAAGAGAAGCUCAUUGCGUCUGUGGCUGGCUCGGUGGAGAGAGUAAACAAGCUGAUCUGUGUAAAAGCUUUGAAAACCAGAUAUAAUGGUGAAGUGGGGGACAUUGUAGUGGGGAGAAUCACGGAGGUGCAACAGAAGAGGUGGAAAGUGGAGACCAACUCCCGGCUGGACUCGGUCCUGCUUCUGUCAUCCAUGAACCUUCCCGGAGGAGAGCUGAGGAGAAGAUCGGCAGAGGACGAGCUGGCGAUGAGGGGCUUCUUGCAGGAAGGGGACCUUAUCAGUGCUGAGGUCCAGGCAGUGUUCUCUGACGGGGCCGUCUCUCUGCACACGAGGAGUCUCAAAUACGGAAAACUGGGUCAGGGCGUUUUGGUUCAGGUUUCCCCCUCCCUGGUAAAACGGCAGAAGACUCACUUCCAUGACCUGCCAUGUGGUGCCUCCGUGAUUCUGGGCAACAAUGGCUUCAUCUGGAUCUACCCAACGCCUGAGCACAAAGAGGAGGAGGCAGGGGGCUUCAUUGCAAACCUGGAGCCUGUCUCCCUUGCGGAUCGAGAGGUGAUUUCCCGGCUGCGGAACUGCAUCGUCUCGCUGGUAACCCAGAGGGUGAUGCUGUUUGAUACCAGCAUCCUGUACUGCUACGAGGCAUCCCUUCCACAUCAGCUGUCUUUCUCGUGAAUGUCCCAGUACUGUCUUGGUUCCUGUCCGCUCUAUCCCAGAGAAUCUCGCGGAUGUCCUAAGCUGGAUAUCCUCUGAUAAUGAAAGGAAAGCAGAAGAUCAAAGACAUCUUAAAGCCAGAAGUAAUGGAGGAAAUUGUGAUGGAGACACGCCAGAGGCUUCUGGAACAGGAGGGGUAAGGAGAAGCAGGUGGAGGACAGGACUGAGUGUGCCCGGCCGGAGCAGUCCCUGAAAGCAAAGGCCCCGAUUCAGGGCUGGGGCACUCGUCACUCGACCCACCCUGGGCUGCCUCCCGUGGAAGACCUGCUUUCUCCUGUUUUAAGGCAGAGCCUGGGACGGUGAACAGCAGCUGGCCCCUUGGGUUGCCCACAGAGUCCCAGUACUAGGGGUGGUUUCAGGGCUUUAAAAGCACGAAGUGUUCCAGCCGAGCGGACUUGUUCCUGGAACCAUACAGGACAGCUUUUGUCUCCUGCGCACCAUCACUUCACAAGGCACGCGGCCCCCUUGAAAUUGCCCCGUAAAAACGUGGCCUCCCUGACCCCCAGAUUAUUUCUUCUGGCCCCUGUUCCCCCACCUCCUGCAGCUCAAGUACAACACUGAUGAAUAUAGUCGGUAAAGGAGUCAAAGGGAAGAAUAAAGUAACCAAGCAGGCUUUUGCUCGGUUGGAAUCUUA